rnacentral:rRNA from 1 species
CCUACGGGAGGCAGCAGUGAGGAAUAUUGGUCAAUGGACGCAAGUCUGAACCAGCCAAGUAGCGUGCAGGAUGACGGCCCUCCGGGUUGUAAACUGCUUUUAGGUGGGAAUAAAAGGGGGCGCGUGAGCCCCGUAUUGUAUGGACCAUCAGAAAAAGGACCGGCGAAUUCCGUGCCAGCAGCCGCGGUAAUACGGAAGGUCCGGGCGUUAUCCGGAUUUAUUGGGUUGAAAGGGAGCGUAGGCCGGCUUGUAAGGCAGCUGUGCAAGUCCGCGGCUCAACCGUGGAAUUGCAGUUGAAACUGGCGUCCUUGAGUGCACACCGGGAUGCCGGAAUUCAUGUUGUAGCGG